UUCCAGACUCCUACGGGAGGCAGCAGUGGGGAAUAUUGCACAAUGGGGGAAACCCUGAUGCAGCGACGCCGCGUGAGCGAUGAAGUAUUUCGGUAUGUAAAGCUCUAUCAGCAGGGAAGAAAAUGACGGUACCUGACUAAGAAGCCCCGGCUAACUACGUGCCAGCAGCCGCGGUAAUACGUAGGGGGCAAGCGUUAUCCGGAUUUACUGGGUGUAAAGGGAGCGUAGACGGCUGUGCAAGCCAGAUGUGAAAGCCCGGGGCUCAACCCCGGGACUGCAUUUGGAACUGUGUGGCUGGAGUGUCGGAGAGGCAGGCGGAAUUCCUAGUGUAGCGGUGAAAUGCGUAGAUAUUAGGAGGAACACCAGUGGCGAAGGCGGCCUGCUGGACGAUGACUGACGUUGAGGCUCGAAAGCGUGGGGAGCAAACAGGAUUAGAUACCCCUGUA
rnacentral:rRNA from 1 species